CCUACGGGUGGCAGCAGUGGGGAAUAUUGCACAAUGGGCGCAAGCCUGAUGCAGCCAUGCCGCGUGUAUGAAGAAGGCCUCGGGUUGUAAGUACUUUCACGAGGAGGAAGGCAUUGUGGUUAUAAAUCCCACCCAGCUGGAUUUAGAAACGGGUUUAACAUCUGCCGACGAAGAGAAAGGGCGCCACCGCGCGUCUACAUCUCGCUGUGCACAGCGACGCGCGCGUGUAUAUAGCGGAGGGUGCAGCGUUAUAUCGGAAUUACUGGGCGUAAGCGCACGCAGGCGGUCUGUCAAGUCGGAUGUGAAAUCCCCGGGCUCAACCUGGGAACUGCAUUCGAAACUGGCAGGCUAGAGUCUUGUAGAGGGGGGUAGAAUUCCAGGUGUAGCGGUGAAAUGCGUAGAGAUCUGGAGGAAUACCGGUGGCGAAGGCGGCCCCCUGGACAAAGACUGACGCUCAGGUGCGAAAGCGUGGGGAGCAAACAGGAUUAGAUACCCCGGUAGUC
rnacentral:rRNA from 1 species